ensembl:lncRNA
UGUAAACCAAACCGAAGCCAGUUCUGAUGCUGCACUGAGACACAACUAACAAUCCAGAGAGCAAAAACCCCCUGAUGGAGUAGCUUCUCGUUAAAGAAGGUGGUGUUCGAUUCAAUUCGACAUCUGGAACACCUUCACCGCCCUCUUACGAGAUACGUUUCAACAAGUGCACCACUGAACCACUGCAGACAGAUGUGGGUUUCGCGGUCUUUCCAUUCGGAACCACUGGAGUAAUUUCAUUGAGGAUCUGCUGUGUCUUGGGACCGAUGCAGACGCCUCCUCAGAUCUUCUCGGUCAGUGCCUGCUCUUGGGUCAGCAGAUUUUG